GCCGUUGCCAGGGAGAAGGACAGCCCUUCUUCCACCUGCUGGGAGAGUAAAGCAAUAACCACCAGCGAGAUAAGUUUCUUCCUUCGGGUUUGCGAGUGGUAGGGCAUGGGAGCUCCCCUGCAAGCCUCCCAACUCCAUUCUAACUGCGAUUUCCUUUUAUUAAUUUUCACAGAAGUCAUGUGUAAACUUCUGGAGUAAGCUGUGAGGAAUCAGUUACGUUAUUUCAGGCUAUCUCUGCAAACGUCUCCCUGUCUUUCCCAUAUCGUGCUGGACAUGGCACAGUGCUGAAUGUGAUGCUACUUUCAGAGCCCACAGAAUGAAAGUCUUAUUACAGACCCUAGCCUGCUUCCCAUGUGAAGAUCAAACGAGAUCACUGCCAAGCUUCAGUUAAGAAUGAGCCCAGGGUCUGCAAGCCCAGCAGAUGACUUGUUCUGGCAAUUUAAAGGUAUCACCUCAUCCUGAUAGAAGCUAUAACGGGAUGAAGAUUGUCCCUCUUAAAAUAAACUUAUUGGUUUC
rnacentral:lncRNA from 1 species